UGCAAGUUUUAGAACGACUUUGGAUAAUAAGAAUCGCUUAUUUGCUGUAUUAUCUUCAAAAAAGACUGACCAUUUUCACGACGCGUUUUUGGCGUGGUAUAUAAAUGGUGUCAAGAAGCUAAAAGCUUUCAUAUUAGGUUGAAGAAGUACUGAAUUUGUAUCAUUCAAUAAAUAGAAUUUACUUUUACAAAUCAAAUCUUUUAAUCUGAUUUAGUGAAACGGGAUCGACUUAUAACGUGCAAAACACAAAUACAGAUAAUACAAUUGAAAAUAAAGAGAAAGGUUUACUCGAAUAAAGUAGAAACCUAAUCAAUUUGACUAUUUUAAAACUAAUGCAUAAAAAACCCUGUAUAAACUAAUCAUCGUCAUCUUCAGCCUCCACAGUUUCGGCAUUGCCGGAAAGAGUCGCAUCCAAAGCAAUUUUAGCGUUGGCUAAACGUUGAAUGUGCUCUUCGAUGGUAUCCUUGACAACAAAUUUAUAAACUGUAACUUCUUUCUUUUGGCCAACUCUAUGUGCUCUAUCUUCCGCCUGAAGGUCAUCGAAUGGAUUGAAAGAGACAUCAUAAAGAAUAACCAUAUUAGCACACGCAAGAUUGAUACCAAAACCGCCGGCUUUGGUAGAAAGAAGAAAUACAUUAAUGCUUUCAUCAGCAUAAAAUUGAUCGAUGAGAUCCUGGCGGAAAUCGACUUGUGUAGAACCAUCAAAUCUUAAAAACUUUAGAUUUAAUGAUUUCAUGACAAGUUGAAGAAUGUCCAAAACCUGUGUAAACUGACUAAAUAAUACAACUCUGUCGCCAUUUUCAACAGCAUUAGUGAGCAGUUUUUUAAGUUUUCUGACCUUUGUGGCGUCCAUCCAAGGUUCAUCUUUAAGUUGGAAUGAAUUGAUAGACGGAAAUUUGCAACACAAAUUAUGUAGCUCAAUAUCUGACAUGUACUGCAUGUCUUCAAAUAUAUAAAGUUCGUUUGCCUUUUUGUAUUGGGGUUCAUUCAUAAUAGCUUUCGCCAUUUGUCGAAGGAUAUCAUCUUUAUAAUGAAUUCGAAACAACAUAGGGUGAUCCGCAAGCUUACGAAGCUGUACAAGCACAAAACCAGCUGUGCUUUUCUUCUUUGCAAGAUUUGCAUUCGUAUCUAAAUUAGUUUUCAUGACAUUUUCAUCCAAUAAAGAAUUUACACUUUGUUUGCUAGCGAAGUCAUCAUAACGGCGACGUUCCUCUUCGGAAAAUUCGCAAAAUUCUAUAAUACGCGUUUUCUUCGGCAAAGCAUCUAACACCUGGCUCUUUUUACGGCGAAGGACAAAUGGGGCCAUCAUCAUU